rnacentral:rRNA from 1 species
UGAGGAAUAUUGGUCAAUGGGCGCAGGCCUGAACCAGCCAAGUAGCGUGAAGGAUGACUGCCCUAUGGGUUGUAAACUUCUUUUAUAUGGGAAUAAAGUUUUCCACGUGUGGAAUUUUGUAUGUACCAUAUGAAUAAGGAUCGGCUAACUCCGUGCCAGCAGCCGCGGUAAUACGGAGGAUCCGAGCGUUAUCCGGAUUUAUUGGGUUUAAAGGGAGCGUAGGUGGACAGUUAAGUCAGUUGUGAAAGUUUGCGGCUCAACCGUAAAAUUGCAGUUGAUACUGGCUGUCUUGAGUACAGUAGAGGUGGGCGGAAUUCGUGGUGUAGCGGUGAAAUGCUUAGAUAUCACGAAGAACUCCGAUAGCGAAGGCAGCUCACUGGACUGCAACUGACACUGAUGCUCGAAAGUGUGGGUAUCAAACAGG